rnacentral:lncRNA from 1 species
CGGGGCUCUGAGGCUCCAGCCUGACCUCUCCACGGGGUCGACGGGAACCUCUCCGGAUGCCAGGAGUCACAAAGGGCCGACCAGGAUGAGGAAACACCAGGCGGAGUCCGGAGGAAGCAGCACCGCAUCCCAGCCCCAGGCCUUCCCGGACGGUGUUGGUUGGGAGUGCAGUGAAUAGAAGACACUUCUCUGCACCCCAAAAGCUCCAUGCUGAUUGCGAGAAGGAAAUGCUGGAUGGAGGGGUUCCUGGAACUACUGUGAGGGAAAUGGUAACAGAACUUUGGAUGUGGAACGUGCAGUAGGAGUUACACGAAGUGCGGGUCUGCACUUGGGGUGGUCAGCACGGCGGAUGCCCAGCAAAGGCACUGCCUGGUCCACAUCCCGGAGUGGUCUCUACGCCCCAGUCGGCAUCGCAGCUGAUGGUGAAACUUUUGGUGUGGCAGAAGAGUGUCCACAAACUUUGGAAGGUAUCCGCUGCCUCCUCCAUAGCCGUGUAUCCCUGCCGAGGGUGAUCAUCUCGAGGAGCGGAAAGUCCUGCUCAUGGGCCAGGGCUGGCUGGCUGGAGCCACUUGCGCGGCGCAGCCCUGGCGGAGGUUCAGGCGGUCCCGGUGUCGCAAGCGGCUGUGAGUGAUGCCUCCUUGGGGCCGGAGGGGUCCCAGGAAGGCUCCAGACCAGGGCUGACCAGCGGGCAGCAUGGUGGCCGCGAUGGAAGGUGACGGGGUUCGCAACGCCAGGGGACCCAGCAGAGCCCGAGCCCGGGCAUCCCGCAUCUCCAGCAGCACCCCGGUUGCUAGAGAAAAAUGAAACGACUAGUUUUGAAAGCCUUACUUCUGCCAAUGGAAGCACAUUCCAGCAUGUCGCCAACGCAAUCCAUUUUCCACCACUUUCACAAGAAAAGUUACGGCACAAUUAUACUAUCCUACCCUUAUAUACUUUUUGUGCAUGUG